AUAAUAAAACUUUAGUUUCUUAUCUGUAUAAUGGAAUUUUAGACUGGAGCCUGUUUAUCCAAAGGGAACCUCUCUAAUUCCUGGAAUUAAAGGACAGUGAUAGCUCUGGUGUUGACUUUUUUCCCCACAUCCAGAAUACCUCUUCAGAGAGAGCUAAUUGUCAGCAAGGCUUCUUCUCUCUCUCUCUCUCACUCUCUCUGCUGACACAUGGUACCAGUCAGCCACAAAACUUGCCCAGCAGGUGAGCCCAGGCCUGCUGGUGCAGUGAGAGACUGGUUUGCUACCCUAGAAGGGAAACUGGCCUUACCCCACCCAUAUCCUGCUCCCUGAUAGAAACGGUGGGGUUUCCAGUUUCCAAAACAAUGCUCCCCUUCUGGCUCUGAUUCAGUGAGGUCAUCCAUUGAGCUCCUACCUCUCUUUAUGAGACACUGAGGAGGGAGGGGCAAGAGCUGCAGUCUUUAUGAUGAAGCAUGAAGCAGUAUGGGACAGACUUGGUGCUGGAGGAGUUCAGAGAAAGAAGGAACCUCCGGGCAUCUGCAGUUGUUUCACCGAGGAGACAGGCGUUGUAGAGGAGAGGUGGAGAGUUUGGGGCAGCUCUGUGCUAAGCACUGGAUAUGUAUGCCACUCAGUCUUCACAGAAGCCUAAGAGAUCUGGAGUUCCAAUUGAACAGAACAAAAUGAGCUAAGUGACAGCACUGUGAGGUUAGUAAUCACCUGAAAACUCCCCUUUCUUUAAAAAAAAAGAAGAAAAAAAAAACCAGUAAAACUCCAUCAUGAAAGCUUAAAUUGUUUUGGCACAGAUCAGUUCUCUGCCAUGUGCAUAAUGGAGGUCUUAGUACUCUUGUUGUGUGACAGGAAAGGAUGGUGGGAGGAGGCACAUGGCAUAGAAAGCCUCAAUUCUUAUCUCUGCCACUUGAGGCCUUCAUUUCAUCAUCUGUAAAUUGGGACUGUUAAUACCCACCUCAGAGGGUGGAUGUGAAGCACUCCAAAACUGAAAGCUGAUACUGUUUUCCACCCCUGGAAGGCAUUUAAAGCCUGAAAAAGAGUUUCAAAUCCCUGGAGGGCAGCCUGAGGUUAGGGAAAGCCAUCAUGGCCACAGCUCUGGGAUGAGGAAUCAGCCAGGAUUCCGGCACCUAACCCAGAGGAGCCCUGCACUGACAGAUAAUCAGGUGCCACCAAGUGUCCCAAAGGCAUAGGAGACUUAGGUGUGGAGUCUGAAGAACUGGGU